rnacentral:tRNA from 1 species
GCUGUAUAGCUUAAUUUGAACCAUAAUACUAAAGAUAUUAAGAUGAGCGUUAAGAGGCUCUGUGAGUG